GUGGGGAAUUUUGCGCAAUGGGCGAAAGCCUGACGCAGCAACGCCGCGUGGAGGAUGAAGGCCUUCGGGUCGUAAACUCCUGUCAGGGGGGACGAAACCGGGAAACCGGGUGACUGUACCCCCGGAGGAAGCCACGGCUAACUCCGUGCCAGCAGCCGCGGUAAUACGGAGGUGGCAAGCGUUGUUCGGAAUUACUGGGCGUAAAGGGCGCGUAGGCGGCAUGGCAAGUCAGGUGUGAAAGCCCCGGGCUUAACUCGGGAACUGCAUCUGAAACUGCUUUGCUUGAGUCCUGGAGGGGGUAGUGGAAUUCCCAGUGUAGCGGUGAAAUGCGUAGAUAUUGGGAGGAACACCGGUGGCGAAGGCGGCUACCUGGACAGUGACUGACGCUGAGGCGCGAAAGCUAGGGGAGCGAACGGGAUUAGAAACCCCAGUAGUCC
rnacentral:rRNA from 1 species